rnacentral:rRNA from 1 species
UUCCGGUUGAUCCCGCCGGACCUGACUGCUAUCGGAUUGAUACUAAGCCAUGCGAGUCAUUGUAGUAAUACAAGGCAGACGGCUCAGUAACGCGUAGUCAACCUAACCUAUGGACGGGAAUAACCUCGGGAAACUGAGUAUAAUGCCCGAUAGAACAUUAUGCCUGGAAUGGUUUAUGUUCCAAAUGAUUUAUCGCCGUAGGAUGGGACUGCGGCCUAUCAGUUUGUUGGUGAGGUAAUGGCCCACCAAGACUAUUACAGGUACGGGCUCUGAGAGGAGUAGCCCGGAGAUGGGUACUGAGACACGGACCCAGGCCCUAUGGGGCGCAGCAGGCGAGAAAACUUUGCAAUGUGCGAAAGCACGACAAGGUUAAUCCGAGUGGUUUCUGCUAAAGGAACCUUUUGUUAGUCCUAGAAACACUAACGAAUAAGGGGUGGGCAAGUUCUGGUGUCAGCCGCCGCGGUAAAACCAGCACCUCAAGUGGUCAGGAUGAUUAUUGGGCCUAAAGCAUCCGUAGCCGGCUCUAUAAGUUUCCGGUUAAAUCUGUACGCUCAACGUACAGGCUGCCGGGAAUACUGCAGAGCUAGGGAGUGGGAGAGGUAGACGGUACUCGGGAGGAAGGGGUAAAAUCCUUUGAUCUCUCGAUGACCACCUGUGGCGAAGGCGGUCUACCAGAACACGUCCGACGGUGAGGGAUGAAAGCUGGGGGAGCAAACCGGAUUAGAUACCCGGGUAGUCCCAGCUGUAAACUAUGCAAACUCAGUGAUGCAUUGACUUGUGGUCAAUGCAGUGCUGCAGGGAAGCCGUUAAGUUUGCCGCCUGGGAAGUACGUACGCAAGUAUGAAACUUAAAGGAAUUGGCGGGGGAGCACCACAAGGGGUGAAGCCUGCGGUUCAAUUGGAAUCAACGCCGGA